GCCCAAAACACAGCCGACCAAACACUCUAAACCCCCCACAAUUACCUUAACCAAAACAUUUAUCUUGGCCAGUAAAUGAGAUUAAACACCACCACCCGGCCCCCAAGUACCGCAAGGGAACAGUGAAAGAACAAUGAAAAACUCUAAGCACCACACAGCAAAGAUUAAUCCUUGUACCUCCUGCAUCAUGGUUUAGCAAAACCCCUUCAGACAAAGAGAACCUUUAGCCUGCCUCCCCGAAACCAAACGAGCUAUUUUUAAGCAGCUGUAAAAUCCGAGCGCACCCGUCCCUGUAGCAAAAGGGUGGGAAGACUUAAAAAUAGAGGCAAAAAGCCAACCGAGCUUGGUGAUAGCUGGCUACUCAACUAAAGAAUUUAAGUUCUACUUUAGGUACUACUUGAGCCAACCAUCCAACAAAACUCACCCCUUCUACACCUAAAGAAAAUCAAUGGGGGUACAGCCCCAUUGAACCGGAAUACAGCCCGAACUGAGAGAAAUAUCAAGCCCUUCUCCCGUAGGCUUCAAAGCAGCCACCAGAUAAUCGCGUUAUAGCAUGUUCACUAAACAAUUCUAACAAUUUAAUCAACCUCCUAAUCUACAAUGAGUUAUUCUAUACCAAUAUAGAAACACCAAUGCUAAAAUUAGUAAUGAGAAACACUUAUUUCUCUCUGCACCCCCUUAAAUCAGAAUAGAAAAACUACUGACGAUUAACAAACCAACAGACACCCACAACACACCUAGCCAAAGUGUCACUAAAAACUUGUUACCCCAACACAGGCGUGCAAAAAAGAAAGACAAAAGGCCGCAAAAGGAACUCGGCAAAAUUUAAUCCCAACUGUUUACCAAAAACAUAGCCUUUAGCCCCACAAGUAUUAAAGGUCCCGCCUGCCCAGUGACUCUUUAAACGGCCGCGGUAUCCUAACCGUGCAAAGGUAGCAUAAUCACUUGUCCCUUAAAUAGGGACUGGAAUGAACGGCUAAAUGAGGAUUAAACUGUCUCUUGCGAGCCGGUCAAUGAAUUUGAUUUUCCAGUUCAAAAGCUGGAAUAAACACAUAAGACGAGAAGACCCUGUGGAGCUUCAAAACCUAGUUCACCAAAUAAUGCUUCCUUCGGUUUUUAGUUGGGGCGACUUCGGAGCACAAAAAAACCUCCAAAACAUGUAAACCCAUUAUAUUAAGAUCAACAAACCACAAAACCACAAGAUCCAGCAACAGCCCUUAAUGUUGUCUGACCAAUGAACCAAGUUACCCCAGGGAUAACAGCGCCAUCCCCUUCUAGAGUCCCUAUCGACAAGGGGGUUUACGACCUCGAUGUUGGAUCAGGACACCCCAAUGGUGCAGCCGCCACUAAAGGUUCGUUUGUUCAACGAUUAAAGUCCUACGUGAUCUGAGUUCAGACCGGAGAAAUCCAGGUCGGUUUCUAUCUAUGCAGUACUACCUUCAGUACGAAAGGACCAAAGUAGUAGGACCAAUACCAAAAGAACGUCCCAACUAAAACUACUGAAACAACCUAAAGUAGCAAGCACACUACCCCUUCUAAACCAAAAUCAGGUUU
rnacentral:rRNA from 1 species